rnacentral:rRNA from 1 species
GACGAACCGUGCGAACGUUAUUCGGAAUCACUGGGCUUAAAGGGCGCGUAGGCGGCCGCUCAAGUCCGGGGUGAAAGCCCCCAGCUCAACUGGGGAAGUGCCUCGGAUACUGGGUGGCUCGAGGGAGGUAGGGGCGUGUGGAACUUCCGGUGGAGCGGUGAAAUGCGUAGAGAUCGGAAGGAACGCCGGUGGCGAAGGCGGAUCUCUGGGCCGUAACUGACGCUGAGGAGCGAAAGCAUGGGGAGCGAACAGG